rnacentral:rRNA from 1 species
UACAGGGGGGGCAAGCGUUGUUCGGAAUUACUGGGCGUAAAGGGCUCGUAGGCGGCCAACUAAGUCCGACGUGAAAUCCCAAAGCUUAACUUUGGAACUGCGUCGGAUACUGGAUGGCUUGAAUUCGGGAGAGGGAUGCAGAAUUCCAGGUGUAGCGGUGAAAUGCGUAGAUAUCUGGAGGAAUACCGGUGGCGAAGGCGGCAUCCUGGACCGACAUUGACGCUGAGGAGCGAAAAGCUAGGGGAGCAAACGGGG